CCCUUAGAUGUUCUGGGUCGCACGCGCGCUACACUGAUGAACGCAACGAGACGACCUGUACCGAAAGGCAUGGGUAAACUUGUGAAAGUUCAUCGUGAUGGGGAUAGAUUAUUGCAAUUAUUAAUCUUCAACGAGGAAUUCCUAGUAAGCGCGAGUCAUCAGCUCGCGUUGAUUACGUCCCUGCCCUUUGUACACACCGCCCGUCGCUCCUACCGAUUGAAUGGUCCGGUGAAAUCUUCGGAUUGCUGGAUAGGAGGGCAACCACCUAUCUGCGAGAAGUUGCUUGAACCUUAUCAUUUAGAGGAAGGAGAAGUCGUAACA
rnacentral:rRNA from 1 species